rnacentral:tRNA from 1 species
GCCUGGGUGGCUCAGUCAGUUGAGUGUCUGACUUUGGCUCAGGUCAUGAUCUCAUAGUUUGUGGGUUCAAGCCCCGCAUCAUGUC